ACUCACUGGACAGUUAUUGACGCUGAGGUGGAAAGCGUGGGAGCAAACAGGAUUAGAUACCCUGGUAGUCCACGCCGUAAACGAUGAUAACUAGCUGUCCGGGCUCAUGGAGCUUGGGUGGCGCAGCUAACGCAUUAAGUUAUCCGCCUGGGGAGUACGGUCGCAAGAUUAAACUCAAAGGAAUUGACGGGGGCCUGCACAAGCGGUGGAGCAUGUGGUUUAAUUCGAAGCAACGCGCAGAACCUUACCAGCCUUUGACAUCUUAGGACGACUUCUGGAGACAGAUUUCUUCCCUUCGGGGACCUAGUGACAGGUGCUGCAUGGCGGUCGUCAGCUCGUGUCGUGAGAUGUUGGGUUAAGUCCCGCAACGAGCGCAACCCUCGUCCUUAGUUGCCAUCAUUUAGUUGGGCACUUUAAGGAAACUGCCGGUGAUAAGCCGGAGGAAGGUGGGGAUGACGUCAAGUCCUCAUGGCCCUUACAGGCUGGGCUACACACGUGCUACAAUGGCAUCUACAGUGAGCAGCGAUCCCGCGAGGGUUAGCUAAUCUCCAAAAGAUGUCUCAGUUCGGAUUGUUCUCUGCAACU
rnacentral:rRNA from 2 species